rnacentral:rRNA from 1 species
AUUGAACGCUGGCGGAAUGCUUUACACAUGCAAGUCGAACGGCAGCACGGGGGCAACCCUGGUGGCGAGUGGCGAACGGGUGAGUAAUACAUCGGAACGUGCCCAGUCGUGGGGGAUAACGCAGCGAAAGCUGUGCUAAUACCGCAUACGAUCUAUGGAUGAAAGCGGGGGACCGUAAGGCCUCGCGCGAUUGGAGCGGCCGAUGGCAGAUUAGGUAGUUGGUGGGGUAAAGGCUCACCAAGCCGACGAUCUGUAGCUGGUCUGAGAGGACGACCAGCCACACUGGGACUGGGACACGGCACAGACUCCUACGGGAGGCAGCAGUGGGGAAUUUUGGACAAUGGGCGCAAGCCUGAUCCAGCCAUUCCGCGUGCAGGAUGAAGGCCCUCGGGUUGUAAACUGCUUUUGUACGGAACGAAACGGUCUGCUCUAAUACAGCGGGCUAAUGACGGUACCGUAAGAAUAAGCACCGGCUAACUACGUGCCAGCCGCCGCAGUAA